AUCAGUCUAGCGGCUAAGAUUAUAUCUAAGAACGAAGUUUAUAAUUUGUGAACACGGAUAACAUUUUGUAACUCUACCAAUGUCACUGUUGCUAAAGCGCAAAUGAUACUAUGUGUAAGGAAGCCCACAGCAAAAAUAGUUACUAUGUGGCCCAGAAACUUAAAAACAUACUUCUGAGUAGGAACCCACAGAAGAAAAACCUGAAAUACACGCACAAUGGGUAUCAUAUUCAUUCAUCCCGCGCAUCCAGCGUCUGUAACUACAUCCCUCGAGGGCAGACUAUGGGAAACUAGGGCUCCAAACAUUCAAAUCUGUCUUACAGAGAUUAGUUCCUUUGAUUAUAAGCUUUCUCUUUUAGACUAAAGCUCCUUCCUCAAUCUCAACAAAGGUUCCAGCGCUGGCGAACCUCUUAGAACUUUCAAACAGCCUGCUGCGGCACCCGUGCCGCAGGUUCGCCGCCAGUUCGCCUGACACAUGUGGGCGCGGUCUCUUUAACGUGUAGCAGAACUCCGAUGGCAUCCAUCGCAGGCUCACAACACCCGACUGACCUGCUUACUGCCCUUUCUGGAGUGACGAAGAAGGGAACCUUAGCGUCAGGAAACAUUGCUAUGGUGUGUUCCGACCCCUGGCUCGGAGGUUCCCGCCAGUCUGCGGGCACAGGCCAGGAGGACCCCGCCCUGGAGCGCUGCUUCAGAGGCCACAAGGCCGCCGUCACCGCCGUGGACUUCAGCCCGCACGGCCGGCACCUAGUUACUGCCUCUUGGGACACCUUUCUCAUGCUAUGGAAUUUGAAGCCACAAACUAGAGCUUACAGAUAUGUGGGUCACAAGGAUGUUGUAACCAGCGUGCAGUUUUCUCCACAUGGAAACUUACUGGCCUCUGCCUCCCGAGACAGAACCGUUAGACUCUGGAUGCCUGAUAAGAGAGGGAAAUCCUCAGAAUUUAAAGCUCACACAGCUCCAGUCCGAAGUGUGGACUUUUCGGCCGAUGGCCAGUAUCUGGUUACAGCUUCUGAAGACAAAUCCAUCAAAGUGUGGAACAUGUACCGCCAGCGCUUCUUGUACUCCCUGUACCGACACACACACUGGGUCCGCUGUGCCAAAUUUUCACCUGAUGGCAGACUAAUUGUGUCAUGCAGUGAGGAUAAAACAGUUAAAAUUUGGGAUACCACAAAUAAGCAGUGUGUUAAUAACUUCUCAGACUCUGUAGGGUUUGCAAAUUAUGUGGACUUUAACCCUAGUGGUACAUGCAUAGCUUCAGCAGGAUCUGAUCAUACUGUGAAAAUCUGGGAUAUAAGAGUGAACAAAUUACUCCAGCACUAUCAAGUUCACUCCGGUGGAGUUAAUUGUGUCUCGUUCCACCCUUCGGGUAAUUACCUCAUCACUGCCUCUUCAGAUGCUUCGCUUAAGAUUCUGGAUCUCCUAGAAGGAAGACUCAUAUACACACUUCAAGGACAUAUGGGACCUGUCUUUAGUGUUUCAUUUUCAAAAGGUGGAGAGCUGUUUUCAUCAGCAGGUGCAGAUACACAGAUCUUACUAUGGAGGACUAACUUUGAUACAUUGCAUUGUAAAGAUCUUAGUAAAAGAAAUCUCAAAAGACUGCAUUUUGAUUCGUCACCACAUCUGCUUGAUAUCUACCCAAGAACUCCACAUCCUCAUGAGGAGAAAGCUGAGACUAUUGAAAUUAAUCCAAAGCUUGAGGUAAUUGAUUUGCAGAUUGCCUGUCCUCCAGUUGUGGACAUCCUUUCUUUUGAUUCUGCCACAAAAACUUGGCGCGCAAAGGUUCAGAGGUGGGAAGCUGCAGCCUGGAGUCAGCGGCGGACCACGUCCUCGGGUCCUCGCCAGAGCUGGUGGGUGACGCCGGUGCGUGCAGAGCAGGCUGCUGAACGCAAGGAAGAAAGGCGGGGCCUUGGUUGACACUGCUCUCCUGCGUGGUGUCGUUUUAGUUAAAUAUUUUGAGAGAAGUUUUAAUAACCUUACGAACUCAAGUUGACCUCAAGGACACCAUCUACCGUGGAAUUCGGUGGAGGACUCACCCAGCGUGAGUCCUCUGAUUGUCAAGGGCCUUUCAAUCCCACCGCAAGGAAGGCCCCUUCCUCUCAAAGGCCUCAGGGGCAAAUGCGGAGCAGAAUAUCAACUGCGGGCCAGGCAUGGGGGUGCGCGAAUGCAUUCCCCUCCCCGCAGUGGGGAGGCUGAAGCAGGAAAAUCACAAGUGCAAGCCCAGCCUGGACAAUUUAGUGAGAUCGCCUGAAAAUUAAAAAAAGAAAAAAACAAAAAACAGGUAGCCAAGAGGCUUCUUGCCAGAGGAAGUCUGAGACUCCGUGGUAACAGGACCUCGAGCUGCUCUGGGUCUUCCUGCCAGCAUUUCCACAUUAAUGAGGUAUACAAUUAAAAACUGAAGCUGAGCGCGAUGGCACACGCGUGGAACCUUAGCACGCUGGGAGCCCAAGGCUGGAGGAUUUUCACAUCAGAGUCCUGCCAUGGCAAUUUAGCAAUGAAACCCUCAAAAAUUAUAGAUAGAUAGAUAGACAGACAGACAGAUGCCUACACAGGCCAGAGGUGUAGCUCAGUCUGAAAGCCAUAAGACCUCAAAAUUAAUUAAUUAAAUAUCUGGCCUUUAGUACCCUUUGCCAGUCUUCAUGCUCUGAGGAAUUUACAUACUCAUGACAGGUAGUGCUACAGAGCUGGGCAUGACUGCCACCUGGAAAGGACAAAAGUGUCCCAGAUGUGCCAAAAUCAGCUGGUCUGCACUUCAGGACUUUAACUCAGGGAAUGUGGUUACGUGGGGCUUUAAGGCAACAAUUCCGGGUAGUAAACUUGCAAUGUGUUUAACAAUUGUGUUGGAAAACAGAAUAAGAUUGAGAAAUAGUUAUCCCUUGAAGGGACAUUAGGUUGAAUUAUAUGAAAUUGUCAUUUUCUAAUACAAAUCUGAUACCAGUGACUUUAUGGGUUACACUAGAUCACAUUAAAAGACAGAUCCUACUCAGUUUUGAGUUGUGUACUUGCUACUGUAUAAAAAUAAAGCAAGCAAGCAUGAUACACAGGAAAAGGAAGUUUUGUUUACUCUCAGAAGGCCUGGAAUUAGGCUAAUGCAGUCCCACCCAGUGGAUCCUUUUAGCAUCUGGGAGCUCACUGCUGCCUCCAGCCUGGUCUUCACCAGCCCAGACUCCAGGCUUUAGAGCAGCUCUAAAGGUCUUUGCAAGGUUUUUGUUGUGUGGUGUCUUUCCUUUGGAUCCCAGAUAGAACACAGAUUAGAAGAUUUAUGAGAUGAACUGUUGCACUGUUUACUUUCCCCUCAAUAAGGAGGUAAUUCUCUCUCCAUUGACUAUUUUUCUUCUGCUUCUGCCCAACAGAUGAAUAAAACAUGACCAUAAAAAAGAUUUGUGUCUGCUUUGGCAUGAAGAAUGUUGCCCUAAAUAUUUUUGCUAUAAGCUUUGUAUGUGAUUUUAAUUUUAAAAACUCAGAGAAAUUUUGAAAAUAACAACAAAAAGCAGUUUUUAAAGGUAGUUUUUGUUUUUGUUAAUUAGGGUUACUGUUUCUUUUGGGGUUUCUUUGGCUUUUACAGACUAGAAAAAGGUACCUUAGAAUCUCAUUUCAUCAAGGUGGAGUAGAAAAGAUUACCUUUGUUAAACUUUUGUCAAAUAUUUUAGAGGAAUAAAAGCAGGCUUUAUAUGGUGCGGGAAAUAGUUGGCUUCUAUUUUUGCUCUCAUCUGAAUUACAUUCAGGAGGAUUUUCGAGAGCGAAGUGUUCUGAUAGCUUAUCUACACUCUGAUGUCUCACUGCCCUUCAUCUUUAAAGCAUGGUACAAAAACUGUCAGUAAAAGACGUAUUGGCUCUCAUAGAGACAUCGUUUAUAAAGAUAUUGAUCUUCUCAAGGAGCUGAAUUCUUAUUUAGAUUAAGUCAUUUAUUACAUACUGCAGUAAUUUUCUAAAGAUUAUCUGCUUCAGGAUUUCAUUUGAACCUUUCAGUGUUUUCAUUAAUUUAGUUGGAAUCAAUCCAGGAUUCUGUCACCAGAAUCGUACUGGAGCAGGCUAGAGAUACAGCUCAGUGGUCCAAUGAAUCUCCGGGUUCAGUCUCUGGCACCCCCCAAAAGCAAACAAAACACCUCAAAGUACCACUGAUAUGUGACAUGGCUACAGGGGACGCUCCUAACCCCUUACCCGUUCCCGCCCCCAAUGGGAUGGAUGGAUGUGUGCGUGCAGUUUUGUUUUGUUUCAACUUACUGUAACUAAAAGUUCUUCUAAAAUGUUCUAGGACCAUUAGACUUCUUAUCUUUAGAUAAAUGACAUUAAGUGUACUGAGGUGCUGGACUUGUUUUCCUGCAACUGAAUAAAGUGCAGGUAGUAAUCCUGCUGUUUGUGUGAUGAUCGAAGACACAGAAUCCUCAGCUACAGGCAACAUGGGGUCCUCAUCUUUAUCCUGGCAACUGUGCAGAGUAUGAAAUGCGUCCUUUUCUUUAUAUUAGGGACAGAAUUUCAGGUCAAAUUAAUUUUUUACAAUAAACUAAGAACUCCUAAUCACAUUAUGGGAAAAAACAAAACUAAGAAUAAGGAGUCUUUGUUACUCCAGACAUCAAAAUGAAGGUAUUAUUCAAGGUGCUGAGGGGGAGGUCCAGGUGGCGGCCUGACCUGUAGGCUGGUAGAAAUACCCGCUUAAGAAACAGAUAUCAACCGCAAGAGCCUUUUGCCAAGUGCAGAGGACUACCACUGCAAAGUUGUUUAUGAGAAUAUUCAGAAGGGGUCCUUAAUGGGCUAGAAGAGAUUAAAGAACUUCUCUAACAGAAAAUCUGAUCGCUACUUGGCCAAACAGACCUGGGCAUGAUUUCGGUAGGAUCAUUCCAGAGGGGAAAGCACGGUGUAAGUGGGGGCCUCUGACGGAACUGCAAACCUGCACCACGGUAAUACAGGUGCCGCAGUCUAGUGUGGGGUCUUCACACUGCAUAACUCAACCCAGGGCAGAGGGGCAGGGUCUGGGGGGUACACACUCGGAUACUACAUAUCAUCUCCUAGUAAGUGUUGGUUAAGUAGCUAUUCUGCCAGUCGCCAUUCUUAGCUUGAAAAAAAAUUAACAAAACAAGAAUAUCUGCCCCAGAGAGGCCUACAUUCCAUAUUCAGGUCAGGGAAAUGGCAACUCACAGAUUAAAAACGUGAAUAAACAAACUUUGUAGUAUAGUGAACCCAAAACCACAAAGGUUUAAAAGCAGAUAGGAAGAGGCUACAGUUUUAGGUAACGUGGCCUGGACAAGAAUCAUUGGAGGAUGAUAGAAGGCCAGAGGAGCCACAGGGGGUUUCUGUGGAGGCCAGACGUGGGGUGGCUUAGGCCUUAGCAAGUUCAGUCCACUGCAGUGUGAAAGCAGGCUGGGGAAGGGGUAACUAGGAAGCUAAUGAAGUGAUCAGCCUUAGGGGCCCAGGCAGAGGCCAAGCGGGUGGUAAGUGAUCCCGCCCUGCAUGUAUUUUGAAGACAGGGCCAAGAGGAUUUCCUGACAGGUUGGAUGUCAGCUGUGGGAUUCCCUGUCUCCUUUCCCCAGGGACAGUAAGGUGUAGCUGAGACUUAUCUCCUGGCUCUGCCUGGGUUUGGCAGAGGAACUGCUGAGAGAAAAAGAAUCAUGGUUUUCCUGUCUUCAGUUGUAGGGUCAGGGAAAGCGAUCAGCUGAAUCAGUACAAGAGAUACUCCCGUUUCCGUGUACUCCUUCCUAAAUGCCAUUUCGUUUUGCAUUUUUCAACAAAAGUGUAUGGGUUUUCUUUUGGAAAGAAUUUUGCGUUCAUCUGUUUUUCAGAAGAAAAAGAUCAAUUGGCUUUCGUGGAGACUCACGAGCUAUAUGCUUCCUCAAAACUAUUAACAUAUUGACAAACUGUAUGGACACAGGAGACUGGGAGAAACAGAAAGCAUGCCUCUGCGGCUGUUGUGGUGACAGUGCAUCCUGGUUACCAGACAACAUUGCAUAACUAGUUCAGAGUUAUUUCAGUUCCUAACUGCUUAUAUAAGCAAAGAUUUGGAAAGACUUAUUUGAAAGAACACAGUGUCUGCAAACUUAAAUGUCUCAGAACUAAGAUUUUUAACUCUGAAAGUUUAAAGCGACAUAUGCAAUUGAUCGUCCCCACAUCCCCCCUUCCCUUUCUAGAAAAGUUGAUAAAACUCAAGUUGCACAAACCUCUUGCUUCCUCUCCUUUUUGUACGCUAAUUUUUUUUUUUUUUUUGAUGGUAUCGAGGAUCGAACUCACGGCUGUGGUUGUACGCUAACUUUCCUGGAGUGACUUACAUAUACCUUCUAACUUAGGGUAACAGAGGUGCUUCAAAAUCUUUUAAGCGUCACAGCAGUCAGGAAGGCUGCAUCUACCUUUUAAGUGUAGCCCAUGACUUCUGAAAGGAGGGUGCAUGUGCCAUUUCCCAAACUUUAGGAAGCAGUCAUUUUUGUGGUGUCUCCAAGCACUGGCUCAGUAGCUUCUCCUCCCCGCCUCCCCCAACGCACCCCACACACACCCUGCAGCUCUGAAAGGAACCGCACUUAAGCUUUGGUCGGAUCCAGGCCGCUGCCCUGCCAGCUGGUGCUUCCCUCAGUGUGCAGACUCAUGAUUUGGUCUUAACUUCAAAUGGCAGUAAAUUCUAAGGUGCUUAAUAGGGGGAGAGGAUGGACUCUUCUUGAGAUUUGAGAAGUAAUCUAAAUCUUCCUCUUCGAAAUUGAAACGUGAAGUAAUUGAAUUCUCAAAGACAUUUUAAAAAUAAGAAAUAUAAUUAACAAGUAAAUGGCACUGUGUGACAUUUUUACAGCUCCCCCACCAAUAGAGAUACGUAACAUGUAUUAGAUAUACAUAUAUAAUUUUUCAGCUACAAUCUUUAAAAUAAAGUGAAAUUAUUACAGAUAGGAAAGAGAUAAUUUCCAAGUUGUUUUUGCUUUAGAAAUGUACCAUGAUCCAUAAGUUUAAAAAUCUAUUAACAGUUGUGAUUUGAGGCUUUAAAAAAAAAAAAAACUUCAAUUAAUGUUAAAACAAAAACACACACAACUAAAAGUUUUCAUCUGUUAAGCAUAACAUCUUUGUUUAAAGACAGUGCCCUUGGAAAAAGAGAUUGUAAUAGAGUAGGUCAGAGAUCUUUUUAAAAUUACUCCAAAUUAAGUAUGCUCCUUCCUAAAAGACACAAAAAUAACUAAGCCCCACAUAUUUGAUCAAGACAUACUAAAAAUCUGACUGACUUGAGUUUUUAUGCAAACUAAAUAUUUAGGAAUUGUCCUCAUUAAAUAAUUUGUGCAGUGAUACUGGUCCUUAUUCCUGCUGACUGACAUGGUUUUUACUUCAGCUUUUCUGCACAAAAUGUCUUCAGGGAGACGACAAAGGAAGCUGUGGUAGAGGAUUUCAUGCAAUGUGCUCUCUGGGAGCCCUCCCCAGUGGCUAGGCUUGUCGGGUUUCCUUUGGAAAAGCAGCAGGUUUCUGGGAACCGGCGUCCUGAAUUCCAGACGACGGAAAGCACCGCUAGAACUGUGCCAGACAAGGGCGAAGACGUGUGUGGCUGCUUCGCGCAGCCUUCCCUGACACCUCCGGGCUGCUCACCCCCGGCCGCCGGGAAGAAAACCGAGGCCCUGAGCGCCGCGC